rnacentral:rRNA from 1 species
CAGUCGCCACGGUAAUACGGAGGGUGCAAGCGUUAAUCGGAAUUACUGGGCGUAAAGCGCACGCAGGCGGUCUGUCAAGUCAGAUGUGAAAUCCCCGGGCUUAACCUGGGAACUGCAUUUGAAACUGGCAGGCUAGAGUCUUGUAGAGGGGGGUAGAAUUCCAGGUGUAGCGGUGAAAUGCGUAGAGAUCUGGAGGAAUACCGGUGGCGAAGGCGGCCCCCUGGACAAAGACUGACGCUCAGGUGCGAAAGCGUGGGGAGCAAACAGGAUUAGAUACCCCAGUAGUCCCUGUCUCUUAUAC